rnacentral:rRNA from 1 species
AGAGUUUGAUCCUGGCUCAGGAUGAACGCUAGCUACAGGCUUAACACAUGCAAGUCGAGGGGCAGCAUGACCUAGCAAUAGGUUGAUGGCGACCGGCGCACGGGUGAGUAACACGUAUCCAACCUACCGGUUAUUCCGGGAUAGCCUUUCGAAAGAAAGAUUAAUACCGGAUAGUAUAGCGAGAAGGCAUCUUCUUGUUAUUAAAGAAUUUCGAUAACCGAUGGGGAUGCGUUCCAUUAGUUUGUUGGCGGGGUAACGGCCCACCAAGACAUCGAUGGAUAGGGGUUCUGAGAGGAAGGUCCCCCACAUUGGAACUGAGACACGGUCCAAACUCCUACGGGAGGCAGCAGUGAGGAAUAUUGGUCAAUGGACGAGAGUCUGAACCAGCCAAGUAGCGUGAAGGAUGACUGCCCUAUGGGUUGUAAACUUCUUUUAUAUGGGAAUAAAGUGAGGCACGUGUGCCUUUUUGUAUGUACCGUAUGAAUAAGGAUCGGCUAACUCCGUGCCAGCAGCCGCGGUAAUACGGAGGAUCCGAGCGUUAUCCGGAUUUAUUGGGUUUAAAGGGAGCGUAGGCGGACUAUUAAGUCAGCUGUGAAAGUUUGCGGCUCAACCGUAAAAUUGCAGUUGAUACUGGUCGUCUUGAGUGCAGUAGAGGUAGGCGGAAUUCGUGGUGUAGCGGUGAAAUGCUUAGAUAUCACGAAGAACUCCGAUUGCGAAGGCAGCUUACUGGACUGUAACUGACGCUGAUGCUCGAAAGUGUGGGUAUCAAACAGGAUUAGAUACCCUGGUAGUCCACACAGUAAACGAUGAAUACUCGCUGUUUGCGAUAUACAGUAAGCGGCCAAGCGAAAGCAUUAAGUAUUCCACCUGGGGAGUACGCCGGCAACGGUGAAACUCAAAGGAAUUGACGGGGGCCCG